AGAAGCGUAACUCAGAGUGGCUAGAGUGUCGGUCUUACAAACCGGAAGUCGUGGGUUCGAGUCCCACCGCUUCUACCA
rnacentral:tRNA from 1 species